UUUUACCAAAAAAAGAUAUAAAAGCACUCUCUUCUUUCUUCACUUGCAACUAUUUAACACUGCAUCUAACAGUUAAGUAGUUGCUGAAAAUGGCUUCAAAGUCUGGAUUAGAAGAGCUAAACUUUGUUUUGAUACCUUUACUUGUUGCAAGUCACAUCAUACCCGUAGUGGACAUGGCCAAAUUGUUAGCACAGAGAGGCGUGACAGUCACUUUAGUCAUGACACCUCUUAAUGCUAUCCGAUUUACUGCAGUAAUUCAUCGUGCCAUCGGUUCUGGACUCUUUAUUCGGAUACUUGAACUCCAAUUCCCAGCCAAGGAAGCGGGGUUGCCAGAGGGAUAUGAAAGCGCGGAUGUUCUGCCUGAUACGGCUCAUCGAAGAAAUUUCUUUACUGCAAUUGAUAUGCUACGAGACGAAGCUGAAAAAUUACUUGCUGAGAUGAAGCCUAAGCCGAGUUGCAUUAUUUCCGAUAUGUAUAUUGCUUGGACUGCUGAGACAGCUGAUAAGUUUCAAAUUCCAAGGAUCAUUUUUGAUGGAACGAGCUGUUUCAACCAAUUAUGUAUGCAUAAUUUGUACAUCAUGAAGGAUCAAAACAAAAUUCCUGAAUCAGGGCCUUUUGUCAUCUCUGAUUUGCCUGAUAGAAUUGAAGUAACCAAAGUUCAGCUGCCUGGAGCAUUCAAUCCUCCACCAACCCUUUGCGUGCAAGAUAUUCGAGACAAAAUCCGAGUAGCUGAAACAAGAGCCUAUGGGGUUUUAAUCAAUACUUUCGAGGAGUUGGAACAAAGGUACGUUGAUAAAUUCCGAAAACUUAAAGAUGGUAGAGUUUGGUGUAUUGGACCUUUGUCCCUUUGUAACAAUGACACUGUAGAUAAAACGCAGAGAGGUAAUAGGGUUUCAUUUGACAAAGAAGACUGUUUGAAGAAAUGGCUUGAUUCUUGGCAGCCUGAGUCUGUUGUGUAUGCAUGUUUUGGAAGCCUUAGCCAUACCACAGUUGACCAAUUUGUGGAGCUGGCUUUAGGCCUAGAAGCAACAGGUUAUCCAUUCAUUUUAGUCGUAAAAUCAGGGGAAAGACAAGCACCAAUAGAGAACUGGAUAUCAGAAAAUGGAUUUGAAGAAAGAACAAAAGAAAGAGGGCUUUUGAUCCGUGGCUGGGCACCACAAGUACUAAUUCUAUCGCACACUGCAAUUGGUGGGUUCUUGACUCAUUGUGGUUGGAAUUCGAUCCUUGAGGGGAUUAGUGUUGGUCUGCCUAUGAUCACAUGGCCUCUAUUCGCAGAGCAGUUCUUAAAUGAGAGAUUCUUAGUAAACGUAUUGAAGACGGGCGUGAGUGUCGGAUCGCAGCAAGUUGUGAAUUUCGGUGAGGAAGAGAAGUACGAGGUCCAAGUGCGUAAGGCAGAAAUAACGAAAGCAAUAAGUACAGCGAUGGACAAGGAGAAAGAAGGAAAAGAGAGGAGAAAAAGAGCCAAAGAAGUUGGAGAAAUGGCAAAAAGAGCUAUAGGAGGUGGAUCUUCUCACCUCAGUUUGACACUUCUAAUCAAAGACGUACAAGAAUUCCAACAUAACCAAUCAGUUUAAAAUGAAUAUGCACAAGUAUGCAACGUACUACUUUGAUUAGAAAAGAUUAUAAGCAUUAAUUUCUUUUCCUGUUUGCACUUUUGUCUAUGAACAUGAGGUGCCCGAAUAAAACAGGAAACUACUGUAGAUUUACGACUUUAGCCCAGACCCAAACUGUCUGCAAUUUAAUGUGCAGAUCAGUGCACAAAAAUUUUCACUAUACACGAGGUCCAAGAAAGGCCGACAGUCUGCAAUUUAUGUCCCCAAACAUUGUAUAUGAAUUGCAAAUUUCCUAUUUCUCAGAACAUGUUAGGUCGUUGGAUUAACUUGACUUUGCCAGUUUCAAUUUUUAACAAUGAGUUAUAUAUAGUUUAAUUGAGUGACUGACAACUGUAUUGCCACAAAAAAAGGAACUGUUGUCUCAUUAGGUGCCUCACCAAUGGGUAUUCUAAUUGAGUAAAUUUCACACGAAAGUCAAUUUUUUUUCGCUUAAUCAGGCACAUGUCAUCCAAAAUAGGGUUCGAGGUGGGGGAGAUAGUUGCUAGUGCUUGUAUUAGGGUAGAUUAUUUAUUUUACGUUCCUUGGGGUAUAACCUUUCUUCAAACCCUCCUAAUGCGGUAUGUAGUAUGCACCGAUCUACCCAUUUUUAUAAAAAUCAUCCAAAAUAAAAGUUUUCAUACAAAAAAUACUUUUUUGAAAUAUUUUUUUUUUACACAGUCAAAAUUAUCCAACUUGAAGUGUAUCUGACAAAAGUCACUUUUUCAUUGAACGAUUGAAUUGCGAAUGUCAGCAUCAAUGGCAAGAUAGAUUAGCUACAUGCACACAUGAAACAGAGACUAUGCCACAGCUGGCUGGCUUAUCACAUUAAUUGUCAAGUUGCAUAUAGUCAGAAUUUCUUGAUUACUUUAAUUGCUCAAAGUGCCGUACUGGCCUGCUACACGUAAAGAUGCAAAUAAUUUAGUGCAUAUUAAUUUAAUGCAAAUUAAUCCCUUACAUCAUAAUCUUAACAAAUGCUAGAUUUUAUGUUUCAAUAAAUUUUGAAACAAAUACAUUGGUGAAAGAUUUUUUAAGAGUUAUAUUUCAAUUGGUUUUAAAACAAAUGCAUCACUUAAAAUUUUAAGAUAAAUUCGUUAUUCAUAAGUGUUGAGUUACAAAGAAAAUAUAUUUAAUAAAUUCAUUAUUCAAUAAGUUUUAUGUUAUAGGUUCUUGAAAGAAUAAUAUUUUUUGUUUUAAAACAUACAUGAACUUAUUAACUAUUACUUAAUUAAUAUGCUUCUCAUGCAUGAAACUUUCAUCCUAUAAAUAGUGUUUUCUUUGGUUUGAAAAGACAAGCACUCAAAAUUACUUUUCCCUUGAAAACAUUAGAGAAACAUUAAUCAAAUGGUGAAAUCACCAAUUCAAGAAUAGAAGAACAACAUUCUUGAAUGCUACUUGUUUUGUGGCUUAGUUGAAUCCCAAAGAUAGAGUUGUCACUUAUUCUUCCGUUUGCUCAUGGGAGAGACUCCAACUAUCUUCAAGAAGCGUAUUAUCGUGCCUCUAAGCCAAGCAAGUUUUAUUUUGAAUUUCUUGUACAAUUAUCAUUAUUGUUCUAACAAUUUGAAGAUACUUCUCUCUGUGGCUUCUACAUCAAUAUCAAAUAGUAUUCCAUCUUUACCUAAUCCUAAUUUUGAAAUAUUUGAUGGCAAAGACUUUCCUAGAUGGCGUGAAAAGAUGGAAUUCUUUUUAAAACGAUUAAAGUUGGCAUAUGUUCUUGAAGAACCUUGCCCUAAUACUCCUGGUUCUGAGGUAGCAUCUGACGAGGCUACUUUGAUUAAAGAACAAAUUGCCAAAUGGCAAUAUGAUGAUUAUUUGUGCGAGAAUUAUAUUCUUGGAGGAAUGUCUAACAAAUAGUAUGAUCAAUAUUAUGUUAAAUGCAAAUAUGCUAAAGAGAUAUGGGGCGCUCUUCAAGCUAUUUAAUUAGCUGAAGAGGCGAGUUCUAAGAAAUUUCUCGUUUCAAAUUAUAUGGAGUUCAAAAUGGUUGAUGACAAGUCAAUUACUGAACAAGUACAAGAAUUCCAACUUAUAGCUAAUAAAAUUGGUAUAGCUGGAAUUGCGCUUGAUGAAAACUUUCAUGUUGGUGCUAUUGUAUCAAAACUUCCUCCAUCUUGGAAAGAGUACCGAAGUAAACUCUUACACAAAAAGGAAGAUUUGACUCUUGAACAAUUGUUGCAACACUUGCAAAUUGAACAAGAGACACAAUGGCGCGAUAAUAAUAGUUUGAAGGAACCUGUCAUGAAAGCUCAUAUGGUUGAAGAAAAAUCAAACAAGAAGAAACCUGAAAAUAAGAAUUUUUCAAAGGCAAAGAAGACUACAACAAUUUUAAAUCUGGUGAAUGCUAUCAUUGUCAUAAAGUUGGUCACUAUACGCGUGAUUGUAGAAUUCUCAAAGACGAAAAGAAGAAAGAAAAAGCAAAUAAAAAUAAAAAAGAUGAUCUUGUGGCAAUGGUCACAGAAGUAUUUGUAGCGGAAGAUCAAGUGGAAUGGUGGAUAGAUACUGGCGCAACUCGUCAUAUAUCAGGUAACCAAAAUUCUUUCAAUACUUAUGAAUUAGUGGGGGAUGGUAAAACUGUAUAUAUGGGAAAAUCCUCCUCUACUAAAGUUGUGGGAAAAGGAACUAUUGUACUGAAGUUUACUUUCGAAAAGAUAGUUACAUUGAUGGACGUAUUGCAUGUUCCUGAUAUUCGAAAGAACUUGGUGUCAGGUACGCUUCUUUCGAAGCAUGGUUUUGAAAUAUUUUUUUAGGCAGAUAAGUUUAUUUUAUCUAAAAAUGGCAUGUUUGUUGGAAAAGGUUAUGUUGCAAAUGGAAUGUUUAAACUCAAUAUUGAAAAUAAAAAUAUUUCUGCUUAUCUUGUGGAGUCUCUGGACUUAUGGCAUGAACGUCUGGGACAUUUGAAUUUCAGAUCCAUUCAACUUAUGGUAAAUAAUAGAUUAAUCAAAGAUUGUGGAAAGAAUCAUACUACUAAGUGUCUUACUUGUAGUAAAUGCAAGAUUACUAAAAAGCCCUUUAAGAUAGUUGAAAGGACUUCCACACUCUUACAAUUAAUCCACACUGAUAUUUGUGAGAUGGAUUAUUUAUCACGUCAUGAAAAGAGGUAUUUUAUCACUUUUAUUGAUGACUACUCAAGAUAUACUUAUGUCUUUCCAUUGAAAACAAAAGAUGAAACAUUUGAGACUUUCAAAACAUAUAAAGCAAAAGUUAAAAAUAAAUUGAGUGUGAAAAUUAAGUCAAUUAGGUCUGAUUGAGGUGGAGAGUACUUAAAGUCAGAUUUUAUUGAUUUUUGUGAGAGACAAGGCAUUGAAAAAUAAUUGACCAUGACCUAUACACCAUAGUAAAGUGGUGUAGCAGAAAGAAAAAAUAGGACUUUCAUAGAAAUGGUUAAUUCUAUGUUUUAUGGAUCUGGUAUAUUUGAAAAUUUGUGGACUGAAGCCUUGCUUUCAACAUGUCAUAUUUUGAAUAGAAUUACUUCUAGGAAUCAUGAUGCAUCUCCAUAUGAACUUUGGAAUAAUUGAAAACCAAAUAUAAAUUAUUUUAAAGUAUGGGGUUGCUUGGCGCAUGUUCGAUUACCAAAUCAACAUUUAACCAAGAUUGGUCAUAGAGGAGUAGAUUGUGUGUUUAUUGGUUAUUCACAAACCAGUAAGGCUUAUAGAUUUUUAAAUCUUGAGACCCCAAGUCCUCACACAAUUAUUGAAUCUUUACAUACUAACUUUUUUGAGCAUAUAUAUCCCAAGAAAAAAAAUUCUCUUGAACAAGAUUCAAGUUCUUCUAUUCCUCCUCUUAAAAGGAAAAUAGUUGAGCCAUUGGAAGAAAGUCAACCAAGACGUAGUUCAAGAUCAGUGAAAUCAAAAAAAUUUGGACCUGAUUUUCAAGCUUAUUUGGUUGAAAAGGAUCCUGAAAGUUAUGCUGAAGCUAUGUCUUCACAUGAUGCUCUAUUUUGGCGUGAAGCCAUUGAUGAUGAAAUGCAUUCUAUAUUAUCUAAUAAUACAUGGAUAUUGUUAGAUCUUCCUCCUGGAUGUAAACCAAUUGGUUGCCGAUGAAUUUUUAGGAAGAAAAUGAAAUCCGAUGGUACUUUAGAUAAGUACAAAGCCCGUUUGGUAGCUAAAGGCUUUACUGAAUUGAAAGAUAUUGAUUAUUUUGAUACUUUUACACCUGUAGCUCGGAUGACCUCUAUUCAUCUCUUGAUUGCUCUAGUAGCAAUUCAUGGUCUUGUGAUUUAGCAGAUGGAUGUGAAAACUGCAUUCCUGAAUGGAGAUCUAGACGAAGAAGUCUACAUGAAACAACCAGAAGGAUUUGUCAAUCCUGGUCAAGAACGUAAAGUUUGUAAACUUCUUAAAUCUCUUUAUUGAUUAAAACAAGCUCCAAAACAAUGGCAUGAUAAUUUAGAAAAGUUAUGAUUUCUAAUGGCUACUUAAUCAAUGGUGGAGAUAUCUGCAUAUUUAGUAAAUUUCAAGAAAAUUCUGGUGUUAGAAUAUGUCUUUAUAUAGAUGACAUAUUGAUCUUUGGAACUGAUAUCGAAAGAGUCAAAGAAACAAAAUAUUUUCUUGCUUCUCAGUUUGAAAUGAAAGAUCUGGGAGAAGCUGAUGUAAUUUUAGGGAUCGAAAUUGUAAGAUCGGCAAGUGAUUUGACUCUUACUCAAUCAAGUUAUAUUGAGAAGGUUCUAAAGAGGUUUGGUCAUUUUGACGACAAGCCUGCUCCUACACCAUUUGAUCCUAGCAUCAAAUUAGUACGAAACUCUGGUGAUAUUGUUGAUUAAUUGACAUAUUCUCAAAUUGUUGGGAGUCUUAUGUAUGUCAUGCAUUGUACCAGGCCAGAUAUUGGUUAUGCUGUAGGAACUUUGAGUAAGUUUACUAGUAGCCCUGAAGUUUAGCAUUGGAAUGCCUUAAUUCGUGUUUUAAGGUAUCUGAAGGGUACAAUUAAUGUUGGCCUGCAUUAUUCUACCUUUGCAGCAGUUCUUGAAGGCUAUAGUGAUUCUACUUGGAAUUCUGAUCCGAAUGAAUCUAAAUCUAUUACUGCUUUGAUUUUUACUUUGGCUGGAGUAGCAAUAUCUUGGAGAUCAAAUAAGAAGACAUAUAUUACUCACUCAACCAUGGAGUCAGAAUUUAUCGCUAUGUCUUCUGCUGGAGAAGAAGCUGAUUAGCUAUGAAGUAUGCAGAUAGAUAUUCCAUUAUGGGGUAAGCCAAUACCACAUUUGACUAUAUAUUGUGAUAAUAAAGCUGCUAUAUUUCGGGUUUCAAGUGAUUGUUACAAUGGCAAAUCAAGACAAGUUUGUCUCAAACACAAUCAUGUGAGAAUAUUAUUGGAGGAUGGCAUAAUAUCGCUUCAAUAUGUGAAGUCCAAACUCAAUUUAGCAGAUCUUUGUCUAAAGGGUUAGGCAAGGAAUUGGUAGUACAAACUUAUAAUGGGAUGGGAAUGAAGCCUAUGGUAGAUUGAUUGUACUUUAUGGUAAUCCUACCUAAUGAUGUAAUCUUAGGUUCAAAGGGAAAAACAAGUAAAGUUACAAUUGUGAAGCACAUCAAUAAAAUUUCUUUUUUCCCUAGAAAGUGAGUAGAUGUUCAUAAGUUGAUAUUUAUUCUCUUGAUAAAUCUAUAAGACCGAUAUCGGUUGGAGUAAAUAAUAACACUCUUGAUAGAUUUGACAGUAUUCCUACAAAAGAAAAGAAUGAGAUUAUAUUCUCUUAUUAAGUCUAUACACUGAUUUCGGUUGGAGUGUGUAGGAACACUCUUGAUAGAUUUAUUGAUACUUUGUUGUAAAGGAGGAUGAGAUUAAUUUCUCUUAAUGAAAUUCAUAGACUACUUAGUCGGAGUAUGCAAAGUUACUCUUCAUGAAUUCACCGCACUAAGUGCGAAGUGGAGGCCGCUUCAAUAAGAUUUUUACAGGGAAAUCUUAAAACACUUAGCUAAAAGGAUUCGAGACACAUGGCCGUAAGGUGUCAGAGAAUUUUGAUUUUCACCGGAAAAUAGAAAUAUGCGUGGAGCAUUUUUCUACUUCAUUCAAUGAACCACUUAGUUCAAGAUUUGUUCACUAAGUAGUCAAUGAUUUAGAAAGUCUUCACUAGCUAAUGGUUCAAGUCCAAAAGACACCAUUAUUGAUGUAUGUUGCUAGAUUGAUGUCUCAAAUGAAUUUUGUUUUUUAAAGAUAAAAUUUCUUGAAACAAGUGGGGGAUUGUUGAUUUUAUGUUUCAAUAAAUUUUGAAACAAAUACAUCGGUUAAAGAUUUUUUAAGAGUUAUAUUUUAAUUAGUUUUGAAAUAGAACCAUUACUUAAAGUUUUGAGUUACAAAGGAAAUGAAUUUGAUAAAUUCAUUAUUCAUAAGUUUUGAGUUACAAAGAAAAUGUAUUUGAUAAAUUCAUUAUUCAUUAAGUUUUAUGUUAUAGGUUCUUGAAAGAAUAACAUUUUUUGUUUUAAAACAUACAUGAACCUAUUAACUGUUACUUAAUUAAUGUGCUUCUCAUGCAUGAAGCUUUCAUCCUAUAAAUAGUGUUUUCUUUGGUUUGAAAAGACAAGCACUCAAAACUACUUUCCCCUUGAAAACACUAGAGAGACAUUGAUCAAAUAGUGAAAUCACCAAUUCAAGAAUAGAAGAACAACAUUCUUGAAUGCUACUUGUUUUGUGGCUUAGUUGAAUCCCGAAGAUAGAGUUGUCACUUGUUCUUCCAUUUGCUCAUGGGAGAGACUUCAACUAUCUUCAAGAAGCGUAUUAUUGUGCCUCUAAGCCAAACAAGUUUUAUUUUGAAUUUAUUGUACAAUUAUCAUUAUUGGUCUAACAACAAAUGCCAACACUACUUAUAAAUAGAUAAAAGCACCUUUCUGAAUCAUCUAACACAACUACUUCCAGUUUAGUUCAUACUAAAAGUAAUUUCAGAGUCAGGAUUAGAAGAGCUAAGCUUUGUAUUGAUACCUUUACUUGCUGCAAGUCACAUCAUACCCAUGGUGGACAUGGCCAAAUUGUUAGUACAGAGAGGCUUGACAGUCACUUUAGUCAUAACGCCCCUCAACGCAAUACGUUUCACUGCAGGGAUUGAUCGUGCCAUAGGUCCUGGAUUCCUCAUUCGGGUACUAGAACUCCAGUUUCCAGCCAAGGAAGCGGGACUGCCAGAGGGAUGUGAAAGCGCGUAUGUUCUUCCCGCUCUAUCCUUUCGAAGGAAUUUCUUUGCUGUAAUUGAUAUGCUACAAGAUCGAGCUGAAAAUUUCCUUCAAGAGAUGAAGCCUAAGCCAAGUUGCAUUAUCUGCGAUAAGCGUAUCGCUUGGACAGCUGAGACAACUGAUAAGUUUCAGAUUUCAAGAAUUAUUUUUGAUGGAAUGAGUUGCUUCACUCAAUUAUGCAUGCAUAAUUUGAAUAUCAUGAAGGAUCAAAACGAAAUUCCUGAAUCGGGGCCUUUUGUCAUCCCUGAUUUGCCAGAUAGAAUUGAAGUAACCAAAGCUAUACUGCCUAGAGCAUUCAAUCCAGGAACGCUUUGCAUACAAGAUAUUCGAGACAAAAUACGAGCAGCUGAAACAAGAGCCUAUGGGGUUGUAAUCAAUACUUUUGAGGAGUUGGAACCGAGGUACGUUGAUGAAUUCAGAAAACUUAAAGAUGGUAGACUUUGGUGUAUUGGACCUUUGUCUCUCUGUAACAAUGACAAUCUAGAUAAAUCUCAGAGAGGGAAUAAAGCAUCAUUUGACAAAGAAGACUUUGAAGAAAUGUCUUGAUUCUUGGCAGCCUGAGUUUGUCGUGUAUGCAUGUCUUGGGAGCCUUAGUCGUAUUAUAAUCGAACAAUUUGUGGAGCUAGCUUUAGGCCUGGAAGCAUCAGGCUGUCCAUUCAUUUUAGUCAUAAAAGCAGGUGAAGGACAAGCACCAAUAGAGGACUGGAUAUCGAAAAAUGGAUUUGAGCAAAGAACAAAUGGAAGAUGGUUUUUCAUUCGUGGUUGGGCACCACAAUUACUAAUUCUAUCACACCUUGAGGUUGGAGAGUUCCUGACUCACUGUGGUUGGAAUUCAACCCUUGAGGGGAUUGCUUCUGUCGUAUCUAUGUUCACUUGGCCAUUAUUUUCUGAUCAGUUUCUGAACGAGAGAUUCUUAGUACAUGUCUUGAAAACGGGUGCGAGUGUUGGAUCUCAAGGAGUUAUGCAUUUGGGAGAGGAAGAGAAACUUGAGUCCAAGUGAACAAAGAAAAAGUGACUAAAGCCAUAAAAGAAGUGAUAGAGAAAGAGAAAGAGAAAGAAGGAAAUGAUCGGAGAAAAAGAGCCAAAGAACUUGGACAAAUUGCAAAAAAGACACUAGAAAGUGAUGGAUCUUCUCAUCUCAGUUUGACUCUUCUAAUCAAAGAAAUACAAGAAUUCCAACUCAACAAAUCUUAAACUGGAAAUACUAGGGAAUGUAUUUCAUCCAAACCCCAUCGGCGAAAGAUUACACUAUCUAUACAUGGUCAAAAUUAACCUUUGAAGCUGAUUCCAACAGAUGAGUAAUAUGUUGCAACAGAUAAUUAACCUGUUGCGACAGAUGACUUACCUGUUGCAACAAACGAUGAUUUGUUGGAAUCAAAGUCAGGUUCUAUCGAACAGGUUACUAAUAUGUUGCAACAGAUAUUUGUCGUCUGUUGGAAUUGAGUUCAGGUUCUGUUGCAACAGGUUAGUAAUCUGUUGCAAUAGAUAUUUAUCCUGUUGCAAUAGACAACACGUCUGUUGGAAUUAAGUUUAGGUUCUGUUGCAACAGGUUAGUAAUCUGUUGCUGUCACGACCCAAACUAGGGCCUGGCCGUGACGAUCAUUUCAAACCAUGGAGGCCCGCAACACCCCUAUCUAUCUGGAAAUUAUGCACUUAAUUCAUAUGAUCAAAGUAAUGCGGAAGAAACACAAUAAUUUAGAAACAUGGUCAUAAAUAUGAAAAGAAACAAUAACGGGGAGGUAAGGUUCCCUCAACAUCAAUUAACCUCUAAAUAUCUGUCUACGAAAAUCUCUAACAAAUGACUGAGUUAAGUAACCGUAUAUAAACUGGGACAAGGCCCCCAGUAGACCCCAAAACUGAAUAUAAGAUAAAAGGACUGCAGGACAUAAGACCUUCCGAAAGAUAGAAGGCUCACCACUUGUCUCUGCAACUCUGUCUGACUGAUCUACUGAUUUUCUUGACCCCUAGACUGGGCCUCUAAACCUGAGAGGUUGGAGAGGGAAGAGGGUCAGCACAAAAGUACUAGCAUGCAGAGAUAUAAAAACAAAACAUAAUAUUUUUACAAAAUAUAGCUGAGAGCCAUUAUAAAGCAAUUUCGUAUCAAAUCAUUUGAAAACACAUGGGUGUAAUGCAAUAGUUUCUCAACAACAAUGAAAUGCAACUGAGCUAGGUGGAAUAACCUACAUAAUUUACACCAACUGUCUAACCUCGGUUGCCGUCGAUAUUAGAGUAUAAGUGAGGGAGAGAUACUCAAGACCACAAAGCAUGGUAUCUCGACCCACUGGUAGUGCCCAAGAUUACUUAGCCCAGGAUCCUACCUAUAGUACCAAUUUGUGAAUGACAUGAAGUCAAGUACACAAGAUCACUUAGCCUGGUACCAAUAUUCCGUGUCGGCAAACACGUUUUUCAGCGAUGAGCCCUUACUCUCAAACGCCUUCUUCGGGCAUCCACCUUUCUCAUGUAAAAUCAAUGCCCAUUGAAGUAUAUAGGCAAACAAUUCCCAUGACAUAAAGAAAACGACUUAAAAAUCGUAUUGAAAGCAAGAUAUUAGCAUUUGAUUGAAAACCCCCAUUUAAAAGCAUGCAUGUUCAUAAAAACUACACCCAUGAGAUUUUAGGAUAACCCCACGUACCUCUAUUUCCAAGGAUAAUAGAUGUUUCUUGAAGCUUGGGGAUUGGUGAUUCCAAAUAUGUAAUUAUCUUUGAAAAUCUACGAUCGAAUCUUGAACUAUUUGGGUUUUUAUUUUGAAACCCUAAGGAGAAUCUUUGAGCACUUUUGAUGAAUGAAGGUAUAUUUUGGGGUCCUUGGAACAGAAUUUCGUGUUUUAGGGCUAAGUAAGGGUGAAAAAGGACCACUUUAUCCCCAAAACGGAGUGUUUAAGUCAUUAGAAUUCUUUACAUAGGCGCUACCCAUCCCAUUGCCUAUGUUCACAUAGGCGCCGCCUAGGCUAUCGCCUAUGUUUACAUAGGCGCCGCCUAGGUUAUUGCCUAUGCUUUUCAGUGGCCAUGGGCGAUUGGUUAGGCGACGCAUAUCACUUUGAAAGGCCAUAACUUCUUGCUCGGGUGUCGGAUUUUAGCCAAAUUGGUAUCGUUGGAAAGCUAACUCGAAUACCUAUCAUUUGACACAUAGUAGGCUUCCUAAUUUGACAUAUACAGAGAGUUAUGGUCGAUGGAAGCUGACACACUUUACAACAUCCACUAAAACUUAGUCGAUCGAAAUAGUUUCAACUUGUCCCUGAGUUGAAGGACCUCUAUGGUCUAAAUUCAAGCUUGAAUGGAUUCACAUGAUACACAAAUAAUUAACAUGCCGUAUUGGCAUAGGAUUUUAUAGCUUUGGGAUUAUCAAUGCAUCUAAAUCAUGGUCUUUAUUGUAGCUCGAAAUACGGGGCGUUACUGUUGCAACAGAUAUUGUUGCAAUAGGCAAUACAUCUAUUGGAAUCGAGUUCAGGUUCUGUUGCAAUAGGUUACUAAUCUGUUGUAAUAGAUAUUUAUCAUGUUACACCAGAUAACUAAUCUGUUGUAAUAGAUGAGUCAUAUGUUGCAACAGAUGACCCAUCCGUUCAAUUCAUAUUACGGCUUAUAGAACCAUAAACAUAAAUCCAACAUAUCAGUCUUCCGUUUAAACAAAUGUCUCAUCUGUCACAACAAAUAAUUUAUCUGUUAAACAAAUGACUCUUAUAUUAGAUUCAUGAUCAGGUUCUAUCCAUUGUUGAAAAAACAACACAAUAGUAGUUACCCAGAUGACAAAUUCAACUAAAAAUCAUAAUUUAACUUACCAAACUUGUCACAACCCAACUUUCCAAGUCAUGAUGGAGCCUACCAUAACCCACCAGUAGGCAAGCCAACCUAUAGUCCAGAAUGGCUAGUAAUGGACUACUCAAUAACAUAAAGAAAAAAAUACGAAAUGUAUGAGACAAAGAUCAAUACAUAGACGAAUCCCAAAACCUGGUGGUAUCGGUACAAGAGCUUCUAAACAUAAUAAGAGUACAAAAGUGAUAUAUUAAGAAGAAAUACACUAAUUCAACUUAUGUUUGAAUACAACUUAGAGGCUAAUCUAAUACAUAAGAGAGAGAUACGUUAUACUCUGAAUGCCAGGAGCUCACUCUAAGUCUCCGAAUCAGGGAUACUCCACAAGAUGCACAUAUCAAUGGAGAUAACUCGUACUAUAAUCUGUAGGCUGCGGAGGUGUAGUAUGAGUACCAAACGAAUGGUAUUUAGUAGGCAACUGCCAACUGAGCUCCAAAGAUAAAGUAGAUAUGAUAUAUACAACAUAUAAAUAGAAUGAAAUCUAUAACCAAGAGUCCAUUAAUCAUGUAAUAAGUCAAUGAGAAUACCAAGGGACAACUAUCCUAUUCAUGUCCAAGAGUCUAACAUAAUAAGACUAAGGAAGUAUCAAGGUGAACUAUCAUAUUCUAGCUACAUUCAAUAUAUGUAGAGAGAAAGAAAGAUAUAUUGUAAUAUACAAGGCAAAGGAACGACUAUACAAUAUGAACAACGAAGAAAGGGAUAUCCGAUAGUACCAUGACUUCAUAUAGCUAUAUAUAUAAUACAUAUAAAUAGGAGGUCAUCUCAAACAUAACCUACAUCGCCAUGUUCUCAUUUUAAGACCUCAUUAUAAUACUAUCGGGGAUUCAAUACCAACAUACUCAGGAUUUCUAAUCCAUAUGGAUAGACAUAGAAUAAUCGUGCAUAGUAAUGUAAUCAUAAGAUAGCAAAGGCCGAAGACAUACCUCAAUCCCAAUACCGGAUCCAUGACCAAUCUGUCAUAGGCUAGCCAUAAUAAUGAUCAUAACAAUAAUAAUAACAAUAUCAAUAACAUCGUAAAUAAUCAGCUAAUCCGGACAACCAAAUACCUAGCCGAGCCUAUGUGUACCCCUACCACCCCAGACUCGAAAGGUUCAAUCAACAUAUAAUAACACAAGACAUAUUCUUCACCCAUAUCUAUGUAACUGUCCCAUACCGGUUGAUAGACAUAGGUGCAUACUGGUGAUAGGCGAUGCACAUAUAGGAAUGAAUGCAAAGUAUACCAUCAAUAUCACAACUCAUAAUAACUAUCCUCAUCAGUACCAUCAUCAUCAUAAUCAACCUCCGGCCUUGCCGGGAAUCAAUAUCAUCUCAAAGUAUUCUCCAAACUCAAACCGGGUAUCAAUAUCAUCAUAAUAUCCUCCGUCCUUACCGGUAAUCAUUAUCAUCUUAAUGGUAUCCUCCGGACUCAAACUGGGUAUCAAUAUCAUCAUAAUAUCCUCUGGCCUUGUCAGGAAUCAAUAUCAUCUUAAUAGUAUUCUCCAGACUCAAAUCGGAUAUCAAUAUCAUCAUAAUAUCCUCCGACCUUGCCGGGUAUCAGUAUGUCAUCACAAUAUCCUCUGGCCUUGUCAGGUACCAAUAUAUCAUUAUAACUCUCGACACAUAAAUAUAGGCAUAUAAUAGGUGCACAGACACAAGCCGGUAUACUCAUAACCGUAAAGAUGUCUAUCUUAUCAAUACAUCCCAACUAUUUGUUAUUAGCUAACCAACACUUAUUAUUAUUAAAUCGCUAGUUCGCUAGUCAUCACAUAACCUAUAGUUAUUAGCCUAAACAUUAUCCUUCACAUAAUCCUUGUUUAUGGGAUAAUAACUAACCACUAUUCAUUUAAUAGUCAACAUCUAACAUCUAGUCUAGGUUCAUCAUUAGACCAAAAUCAUCAUUUAUCCACCAUUUAUUAUUAUCAACUAUUCAUCCUAUUUUUGUUAAUCAUUACUAGACAACACACUACUACUUAUCACCUAACCAUCUUUUAUUAAAUGACAUCAUUCAUUAACUGACCAUCAUUAGCUACCAUGUUCCAACUAAGCAAGAUUCAUUAACUAAUACAUUAGCUUCCCAGCCAUCAAGUGUAAUAUUCAGCUAAUAGACAACUAGUGACUACAUAGCUUAACCGUCUAACAAGAAGAACAACCAUAAGAUCACAUUUCAGCUAUAAUCAUAUCAUUUAUAAUGGUAAAUAAUCAUGAACAUACCAAAUCUAUGCAUGCCAUCACCAGUAUUCAAUCAAUGGAAUAAUAAGCAUCAUACUGGAUCUUCCUCCGUCCCAUACUGGAGAGAUGUGUAUACAAACAUAUACAUAUUCAUGCUCCAAAUUCUAAAACCAUAUUCCAAGCAUAGAAUUAUAUCAUAUCUAUGCUACAAAUUUGCCCAAACUAGGGAGAAGGCAAUAGAAUUCUACAAGGGUAUUAAGCAAUUCAACCUAUGGGUUAAAACCCCCAUCUAAUCCCCAAACUUAUAUGUAGAAUCAAUACUAAUUCCUUCUAUCCAAUAUCAAUCUUAACAUUCACAUUUACACGCAAUAUAUAUCAUACAUCAUCCAUGAAAAAGAGUAGACAGAAGCCUACCUCAAGGCUAAAUCGCAAAAUCACACUCCAAGCACCACAUGCUCAUCUUCACUUCAAAAUCCCCAAAAUUCCAUCACACUAUCAAUAAUAUAAUCUAUUCAUCAAUACGAGUCUAAUGAUAUUCAUAUUGCACUAUUGUGCUUCGGAUCCAAAAACGACACCAAAAACCCCAAGUGGGUUCCACGUAUGGAAAUCGCAUUUCUGAGGUCAACCCAAUGCUCAUACAUCACCAAGAAAUCAUAACCCUCAAUCAAUUGGUGAAAACAAACCAAAUUUAGGGCUAAAUCAAGCCCUAAGCUAAAUUAGAAUUUUUGGUCAAGAGCUAUAAAAUUCACCAAUAAUGUAAUAACCCUUCGGUUCAUUGGCUGUGUUUUACUUAUUUUCAUCGAUAAAGCUCAUCCAUAGCCGUCCCAAGUCAUUAGUGACUUACUUGAACCGAUAUUUUAGUUACUUGACGGUUUGUUUGGUUUAUAGAAUUUUUCGCUCGGCGACCAGUGGAAUCGACGAAGACUCAAAUUGAAAAAAUAUUUUAGGUUCUGAGAUUGUAAAUUCCUCUUGUAAAAUUUAGAAGAUCUUGUAUUAAUACUAUCAGGUCGUGGAAUUUGUGUUUGAAUAUCGGGUGUCCUUAGUUGUAUAAAUAUUGUUAUAUAUUGUGUUUAUACAUAGAGUCCAUGUUGGACAUUCUUACCGAGGUAACCCAUUGCCAUAGCUCCGGAUUACGGUAUUGGAUGACCUAUCAGAGGGAUGUGGUAGGUUCCACCAUGACUCCAAAUGGGGUCGUGAUAAAUUAGUAUCAGAGAUUAGGUUUCACCGAUAUUAUUGAUACAAGAGCAAAUGUCUAAUAGAGACUUGCGGAUCAGAACGUUGACGUCCGUUUCUUAUCUUCGAAAGGCUAUGUGACAUUCUUAGGAUUCUUUUAUUAUUUUCAUUUAUAUCGUGCUAAGAGUCUGAGUUGAUUUGCAGUAUAUUUUCUUAACUUUACUCUUUAACAGAUAUCAAAGAGACGUGUUGCACCUAUGCGAGGUGAGUCCUGAGAUUACUCUUUCAUAGAUGUCGAGGAGGCGUGUUAUCCCUAUACGAGGUGCGAGUCCCGAGAUUAGGCUUGACAAUCCUGCUCCUAUUUGUAGACUACCUAGAGUUUGAGGACAGCCUCUUGAUGUGUCUUUAGCUAAGGGCCAGGAGAGGUCGUCUUCCUCGAGACCUAUCCCUGCACCUGAGCCAGAGAUUCCUCCGCCACAGCCAGUGGUGGGCCAUGGAUCAUCCCAGGCUCCACCAGGUUUUAUUCCUUCUUCAUUGCUCAAGAUUGCCUGGUUAAGAUGCUUAGUAUGGUAGGUGGUGUACCGCCUGAUGGUGCACAUACUUUUGGGAUUGGGGCACAGCCUGCAGCUGCAGCUCCUAGUAUUGAAAUUGCUCCUGUGUCGGUAGUCAUUCAGCCGAUAGCUGUGCCUCCAGUUGUGACCCAGCCUGCUAUGUCUGCCGAUGAGCAGAAGAUAUUUGAUAAAUUUUUUAGGUUGACUCUGCCUAGGUUUUUUGGUGCUCCUAGGGAGGAUGCAUUUGAAUUUCUUACAGCUUGUGAGGAUAGACUUUGUGCUUUAGGCCUUGUCAAGACUCGUGGUGUGGAUUACACCAUAUUUCAAUUGGAUUUGUCUGCUCGUCACUGGUGGAGGGGGUUUGCAGGUUCUAGACCAAUUGGGUUUUCUCCCUUAUCAUGGAAUCAGUUCUCUGAGAUAUUCUUGGAGAAGUAUAUUCUGGUAGUCUUAGAUAUCGACUGAGGGAUCAGUUCUCCAGACUGGAGCAGGGCUCCAUGACAGUCGCCGAGUAUGAGGCUCAUUUUCAUGAGUUGGCCAGACAUGCAACUUUUAUUUUGAAAACUGAGUAUGCGAGGGUUUGAUAAUUUGUCAGAGGGUUGAGACUCCCUAUUCGGAUGGCUACUCAGAGUCUAGUUGUUGUGGGUAGGACUUUUGUGGAGGUUUUUGAUCAUGCUAGAGUGAUGGAGGAGAUGCAUAGAGAGAGUCGUGAGGGCCGUGAUAAGAGGCAUAGAUUCCAGGGUAGAUUUGGUGGGAUUCGUGGUAGUUCCCAAUUAAAGGGUGGUAUUUCUUAUGCUGGACAUCCUCCACAUCCAUCUUUUCAGCCUCAGAGUCAGUCUAGUCGACCAAUUCAGCCAGCUCUUCAGAUCGCUGGUGGGGACAAUUUAUUGUAGUGGUCGCCCUAGUAAGGGCGGUGAUCAAUCUUUGAGAGGUUUAUCUAUGAUCCAUACUAGGCGUGGUAGCUAUGCUAGAUCAACCGGAGUUGUGAGUUCUAUUUUUUCUCGUGAGUCUUGUUUUACUUGUGGUCUUCCUGGUCAUUUAUCGAGAGAGUGCCCUAGUCGUGGGGCGAUUGUUGCUUCAGCCCAGAGAGCUACUCCCAUUAGAGCAGUUCCUCCUUCAGGUAGAGGUAGUUCGCCAGGUCGUAGAGGUGGUUACCAGAGUUCUUGAGGUGGUACUCAGGCAGGCAGGACAAGAGGUCAGUCAGGUGGCGGGCAUGGUCAGUUAUAUGUAGAAACUGCUAGACCCGAGGCUCAAACUUCGAAUGUUGUAGUGACAGGUGCAAUUUUGGUGUGCUGCAAGUCGGCUCUUGCUUUAUUUGAUCCUGGAUCUACUUAUUCUUAUAUAUCUUUUUAUUAUGCACCACGGUUGGAUUGACCGGUGAUUUAUUAUCUGCGCCAUUAUGUGUAUCUACUCCUGUGGGUGAUUCUUUAGUAGUGGAUCGAGUGUUCAGAUCAUGUGUUAUGACAGUUAGUGAUGUAGAUACUUAUGGUGAUUUUAUUAUUCUGGAUAUGCUGGAUUUUGAUGUGAUACUGGGCAUGGAUUGGUUAGCUUACUAUCAUGCGGUCAUGGAUUAUUUUUCCAAGACCGUCACCUUAGCCAUGCUCGGCAUACCCCCAGUCUAUGGCAGGGAGCGGUUAGUUGUGAGCCAACAGGGAUUAUUUCUUAUAUUUAUUUUAGGAGACUUAUAUCAAGAGACUGCAAGUCUUAUCUCGCUUAUAUAUGUGAUACCCGUGUAGAGAGUCCGACACUUGACUCUGUUCCUAUUAUGUGUGAAUUUCUUGAUGUAUUUCCUGAUGAUCUGCCUGGUAUUCCCCCUGACCGUGAGAUUAAGUUUGCUAUUGACCUUAAGCCUGGCACCCGACCUAUUUCUAUGGCACCUUACUGUAUGGCUCCUGCCGAGCUUAAGGAGAUGAAUUCUCAGCUUCAUGAUCUUCUUGGUAAGGGUUUGAUUAGACCAAGUGUGUCCCCAUGGGGAGCUCCUGUCUUGUUUGUAAAGAAGAAGGAUGGUUCGAUGCGUAUGUGUAUUGAUUAUAGGCAGCUUAAUAAAGUGAUGGUGAAGAACCGUUAUCCAAUGCCUCGCAUUGAUGAUUUAUUUGACCAGCUUCAGGGUGCAGUAGUAUUUUCUAAGAUUGACUUGAGAUCUGGGUAUCAUCAGUUGAGGAUUCGGGCUGAGGAUAUCCCAAAAACAGCCUUCAGGACCGGUUAUGGUCACUAUGAGUUCUUGAUGAUAUCUUUUGGGAUGACUAAUGCCCCCACCUCGUUUAUGGACUUAAUGAACCAUGUGUUCAGAUCCUAUUUAGACUCUUUUGUCAUUGUGUUCGUUGAUGAUAUUCUUGUAUUCUCGAGGAGUAGUGAAGAGCAUGCGCAACUCUUGAGGAUUGUGAUCCAGGUUUUGCGAGAGCAUAUGCUUUUUCCCAAAUUCUCCAAGUGCGAGUUUUGGCUUGAGUCGGUAUCUUUUCUCGAACACGUGGUGUCCAAGACGGGUAUUAUGGUAGACCCGACUAAGAUUUUAGCGAUUCGUGAUUGGGCUAGGCCUACGUCUCCGACUGAGGUCUGUAGUUUUAUUGGUUUGCCAGGUUACUAUAGGCGCUUUGUUGAGAGCUUUGAUACUAUAUCAGCCCCUAUGACUAGAUUGACUCGGAAGGAUAUUCCUUUUCGAUGGUCUGAGGAGUGCGAGUUGAGCUUUAGGAAGCUCAAGGAUUGUCUCACUUCUGCCUCUGUGUUAGCUCUUACGGUUGAGGGCGAAGGAUUCUCAGUGUUUUGUGAUGCUUCUGGUGUUGGUCUUGGAUGUAUUUUGAUGCAACAAGGUUGUGUCAUUGCCUAUACUUCUAGACAGCUUAAGGUGCAUGAGCGCAACUACCCCACUCAUGAUUUGGAGUUGGCGGCGGUAGUUUUCACGCUCAAGAUUUGGAGGCAUUACUUGUAUGGUGUGCGUUAUAAGAUUUUCACCGAUCAUGGUAGUCUUCAGCAUCUUAUGACCCAGCGGGAGCUAAAUUCUCGCCAGCGUAGAUGGAUGGAGUUUCUAAAGGAUAAUGAUAUGUCUAUCUUGUAUCAUCCGGGUAAGGCUAAUAUUGUGGCGGAUGCCUUGAGUCGCAAAGCAGUAAGUAUGGGUAUUUUGGCAUGUAUUUCAGUUUCUCAGAGGUCGUUAGCAUGGGAUAUUCAAUCCUUAACCAAUUUGAUUGUUUGCCUCGAUAUUUCGGAUCCAGUGAGAGUUUUGGCUUGUGUAGAGGCGAGGUCUUCCCUGAUUGAGGAAAUUUAUGGUCGUCAGUAUGAGGAUAGAAAAUUGUGAUUUUUUGUGACCAGGUAAUUAAUGGUGAAUCUAGGAGGCACACUGUGGAUUUUGAGGGUAUUCAAAGAUUCCAGGGUCGUAUUUGUGUUCCCCGAGUUGAUGAUCUGAUCCAGUGUAUUCUGCAUGAGGCUCAUAGUUCUAGAUAUUCUAUUCAUCCCAGUACGACUAAGAUGUAUAGAGAUUUGAGGCAGUUUUAUUGGUGGAAUAGUAUGAAGAGAGAUGUGGUAGACUUCGUAGCUCGUUGCUUGUGUUGUCAGCAAGUUAAGGCCGAGCAUCAGCGACCAGAUGGAUUGACUCAGAGAUUGCCCAUUCCCGAGUGGAAAUGGGAAAGGAUCACCAUGGACUUCAUUAGUAGUUUGCCUUGUACUCCCCGUGGUCACGAUGGUAUCUGGGUUGUUGUGGAUCGUUUGACCAAGUCGGCACAUUUUAUUUUUAUAAAGAUGACCUUCAGUGUCGAGAGAUUAGCCUAGAUUUAUGUUCGGGAGAUAGUUCAUUUGCACGAGGUUCCUGUGUCUAUCAUAUCAUAUCAUGGUUCUGUUUUUACUUUGAGGUUUUAGAGAGCAUUCCGGAGGAGUUGGGUACUCGAGUGGAUUUGAGUACAGCUUUUCAUUCGCAGAUGGAUGGUCAGUCCGAGCGGACUAUUCAGGUGCUUAAGGAUAUGCUCCGAGCUUGUGUUAUGGACUUUGGAGGCCAGUGGGAUCAACACUUAGCUUUGACAGAGUUUGCCUACAACAACAAUUAUCAUUUGAGUAUUGAGAUAGCCCAUUAUGAGGCAUUGUAUGGUAGGAGGUGUCGUUCUCCUAUAGGAUAGUUUGAGACAUCCGAGGUUAGACCCCGUGGUACAAAUUUGCUUCAGGACUCGUUAGAUAGAGUUAGGGUGAUUCAAGAUAGGUUGAGAGCCGCCCAGAGUAGGCAGAAGGCCUAUGCCUAUCGUAGACUUUGUACCUUGAGAUUCAGAGUAGGUGAUCGUGUGUUCCUUCGAGUUUUACCUAUGAGAGGUAUAAUGAGGUUUGGAAGGAAGGGUAAGCUUAGCCCUUGCUAUAUUGGUCCUUUUGAGAUUCUUCGCGUAGUUGGCGAGGUGGCCUAUGAGUUGGCUCUACCUCCAGACUUUGCCGCUGUCCAUCCAUUUUUCCAUGUCUCUAUGUCGCGAAAGUAUAUUCUGGAUCCUUCUCAUGUGCUUAGAUGGUACUCGAUCCAAUUGGACGAUCAGUUGACAUUUGUGGAGGAGCCCGUGCUUGUAUUGGCUAGUGAUGUGAGAGGACUGCGUACUAGAGAGAUUCCUGUCGUUAAGGUUCAGUUGAGGCACCGCCCGGUGGAGGAGGCCACUUGGGAGUUAGAGAGAGAGAUGUAAGCCCAGUACCCUCACCUAUUCAAGACUUCAGACACUUGCUUAUCUUUAACUUUCGAGGACGAAAGUUCCUUAGUAGUAAUAACCUUUCGGUUCAUUGGAUGCGUUUUGCUUAUUUUUGUAGAUAGAGCUCCUCCAUAGCUGUCCCAAGUCAUUAGUGACUUGCUGGAAUCGAUAGUUUGGUUACCUGACGGUUCGUUUGGUUUAUAGAACCACUUUUCCAAUUUGAGUCUUCGUCGAUUCCACAUGGUCGUCGAGCGAAAAAUUCUAUAAAAUGACUUCAAAUGCAAAUUUUAACUGCACCAGUAGCUAUAUAAUAUCAAUUUUAGGAUAGAUAUACCCUUGGUUCAAAUCCCACAGCACCCGAGCUCAUUUCUACCUAUUAGUUGAAAAAGGUCAAAAAUCAAAAUAUGUGGGCAUGGGACCAACAAGUGGUAUAAAUGACCUCGGAUGUCGAAUUUAGUUACAUAAUUUAUUUGCGGAAAACGGAGUCUGAAUGAGUUCGAAAGAUCAAAAAUAAUUUUUGACCCUGGGGGCCCAUUUAAAACCGUAUAAAAGGGUUUUUGACAGAUUUUGAGCAUUCUUCACUCCUAUUAGAACCCUAGCAGCCCUAAGGAGAUUGGUAACAAAAAAUGAGUCUCAUGGGUUGAUUAGAAGCUUAACAACUUGUGUAAUUCAUCCUUUUUACUACAAAUCCUAAGUAAGAAUUCUUCAAUUUGAUAUUAAUUUCAUGGUUUCUUGACUUAAAAUCCUAAAUCAUUCUGGGUCAAUUGUAGCCCCAAAAUUAAGUUAUUUACUCAAAUUACUUAGGGGUUUUAACUCCCUAAACAUAAUUAGGCUAUGAAUUGGUCUUGGAAACUCCUUUCCAAGGGUGAAAUCCUAUUGGGGUUUUUGUGUCCAUUUGAAACCUAUGGCACAAUGGUGCUAUAAUGGGUAUUUUCAAUUCUUGUUGUGACGCUUAGGUUGUAUUGUUGAUAGCAUUGCUUGUGGAAGGGAAAGCUUCUCGGAAGGGAAAGAAAAAGCUCUUUGAUUCGUGAGUUCCUUGGAUUCAAGGUAGGUUAAGCUUACCCGUAGUAUAGAUUGAGAUUGUUUGUAAUGUAAUUGUUGAUAUCUUGCGAGAUUGGGCGGGUAAUUUAGACGAUAGUUGAUUAAAUUAUUACAUUUGAGUUUCAAGGUUCCUGCUCCUUCCACUGGUUUGUUUUCCAGUAACAAUGAUUCAGAUAAGCUGAUGCAUUUUACCAUUAAUUAGCACAAAGUAAUUUUUAAAAACUUAGCUACCUCCUUGAUGAAGAACCAGACAGAAAAGCUGCAUACAUAAAUCAACUGUAAGGCUUCAUAUAUAGGUACAUUUGCUAAUAAACAACCAGUAGAAGAGCAGAAAUUUCUCCUUAAUGAAAACCAAUAAAUUCAGUGACAGUUUUAUAUAUUUGUUUGAUUUUUUCCAAGGGUUGUGGUGUCGAAAUACCAAUGCUCUUAGUGCUUGAUAGCGCACACCUGUAUGCUGUAACGUGAGUGCUUGUAAUCUAUGUGGUAAUGUUUGUAAAAAGAAAAAAGGGAGUAAUUUAUGUGUUUCCUUGUUAUAAACAUCUUGUUGCUCAGUUGCCUACUUCUUGGGUUAUAAAAUGUCUUAACUCAUUUAUGCUAUAUAAAAAAAAUAUAAAUACUUUCAUCUGUGAUAAAUUAGAUGUCACUAAUUGGUGUACACGUAAUUUAGAUGUCACUAGUUGUUUUGUCAACCCCUCAAAAGAUUAAUAUUCAUUGCACAUCAGUGAACAUUGAAGCUGACCUGCAGUGGUAGUUUGUGAGAUCUGAUUCUCUUUUCUUGGGUGCCGAACUUGAAUGUCCUAGCCUAAAUAAGACUCUUCCUUAGUCUACUGUAUAAGAACUGUUAGCAUACCUGCUGCGAUAUCAGCUAUAUCAAUUGGUUCAUAGUUUAAGACUCCUCAAAAGUAGGUCGCCUCAGCUAGUGGUUGUUGUAGAUUACUACGCACAUAUUUAGUAGAUAAGAUCUUGCAAAGAACAAAGUCAUUUAAAUGAUGUUGAAUUAUUAAAUAUAUAUAUAUAUAUAUAUAUAUAUGUAUGUAUGUGAAAUUUGAAUUAUUCUUGAAGAUGCAUAUACAAGAACUCGUGAAUGAAAGUAUUGUGGUAGAUAUAUAAUAUGAUUCAAUUCAUAUAGGGAAAAGCUUAGAUGGACCAUAUUAUUUAUAUAGAAAAGGGGAAUAUUUUAGUGAAAAUGGCAUUUGAUUCACAUGAACAACUUUAAGCAGACGCAAUUGACACUCAACAUAAACUGUUGGCAUACUGUAUUGAUGAUAUACACAGACUAUGUACUAUGUACUUGAUCUUACUGUUUAAAGUGUUGGAACUUUAUGCUAGUUGUACUUUUGCAUGCAAAUGUUUACUAUGUCAUCUUCUUUGAGAUUCCACAAAACUUUGUCUGCUGCUCUGCCAAUAGUGAACUAAUGUACAAUAAUGUAAUACCUUGACAAGAGUGAAGUAGUUUGAUUGAUAUCUUCUUACUGGUUUAGUGAUCAUGACUCGAACACCCUUGUUAUGUGAUUAUUAUGCAUGUUUGGUAAAUGCUCAUGCUCUUAUUGAUGCUUAUUUUACGUGUAAAGCUUAUUAGUAAGGUAAAAUGGCAAGUGUUAUUCCCACAUCCCUAUUUCUCUAUAUAUUGUGAGCUUUUGUGCAUGCUUAUUGGUUUGGCUAUGCAUAUGGAUUUAUGUUGUUGUGUUCGGAGGAAUAUGUGAUAUUAUGAUGAUGCCCGGUUCGAGUCCGGAGGAAUAUGUGAUAUUAUAAUAAUGCCCGGUUCGAGUCCGAAAGAAUAUGUGAUAUUAUAAUGAUGCCGGUUCGAGGAGGAAAAUAUGAUAUUAUGAUGAUUGCCGGUUCAAGUUCGGAGGAAUAUGUGAUAUUAUAAUGAUGCCCGGUUCGAGUCCGGAGGAAUAUAUGAUAUUAUGUUGAUGGCCGAUGAAUCCGGAGGAAUAUGUUGAUAUUGUGAUGAUGCCCGGCGAAUCCGAAAGAGGUAAGGACAUUAUGAUGCUGUGUAGAGAAAAUUUACUUAUAUGCAUUGAUAUUUGUAAAGUUAGGCCGUGUGGGGCCAACCGCCUAUGUGAUUGACUUAUGAGGUCUCUUUUUGGUAAAUCGAUGAAGCGUUGUGCUUUAUGUAUUAUUAGUUGUGUUCUUUGGUGUACUCUCCGGUGGUAUGGGACGCCGUGACGAGUUCUUUGUUGUGCUCUCUUUCGUGUACUUUCCGGCGGUAUGGGAUGUCGUGGUAAGUUCUUGUGUUUGUGUUCUAAAGGUGUUGAUGACUAUUAUGGCAAGUAUAUGCCUUGUGAUUGUGUAUAUGGCUUUACGUUUUCUAAAUGAUACUCAGCUGUUAUGGAGAUUAUGAAGUAUAUAGAGAUAGUAUGUCAUGUUAUUGUUUUAGUAGUAUAGAUGUUGUUAUAGUGGUAUCAAAGCAGAUUCAAGUUCGAUCCUAUCCCUUGACUUUAAGAUCAUUGUCUUACUUUAUAUCGUCUUUACAUUAUAUUUGAGCUUAGUCGGCCGAUGAUGCCUACUGAGUACCCCAUGUUUUGGUACUCAUACUACACUUCUGUACCUUUUUAGUGCAGACCCAGGUCCUAGUUGUCGCCGUUGAGCUAGUUCGUGCGAGUAGACUAUUCAGAGAUAGGGUGAGAUCUUGGAGAUCGAGUUGCCCUCUUUCNNNNNNNNNNNNNNNNNNNNNNNNNNNNNNNNNNNNNNNNUCUUUCCCUUAUAUCCUUAUUUGUCUUUUGCUUUCGAGACAAAUGUAUGAGACUAUUUAAGACAUUUAGGUUCUGAGAUUGUAAAUUCCUCUUGUCAAAUUUAGAAGUUCAUGUAUUAAUAUUAUCAAGUCGUGGGAUUUGUGUUUAAAUAUCAGUUGUCCUUAGUUGUAUAAAUAUUUUUAUAUAUUAUGUUUAUACAUAGAGUCCAUGUUGGACGUUCUUACCGAGGUAACCCAUUUCCAUAGCUCCGGGUUAUGAUACGGCUUACCUACCGGAGGGAUGUGGUAGGUGCCAUCAUGACUCUAAAUGGGGUCGUGACAAAUAAAGUGAUAAAUCUUACCUUAAUCCGGAUGAUAAUCAUAAUAAAAGAUGUUUACCAAGCUCCCUAGACACCCACAAGACUUAAUUUUGAGUUAUCAUACCCAUUUAGGGUUUUAGGCUUUCAAAAAUGAGUCAAAAUGGUGAAAAACGCGGCUAUAGGGUGCUUAAAUACCCAUACCAGCUUUGGAGAUCCGCAGUCGCUGUCUAGGCCAUCAGCAAAGUCAAAAACUUAUUUUUAACCCUCGAAACUCAUUCGGAAAUCAAAAUAUAUGAUCCAAUAGUGAAAUUUGAGUGUAAAACACAUUUCAAAUUCAUUGGAAUCAUCAAAACUUUCAUCCAAGAUCAUUUCGAUAAAAAGUGGGUCUCACACCUAUUCAUUCAAAUUUUCAACUUUCCGACCAAUAGGUCGAAAUGAGCUCGGGUGCAUUGGGACCCGAACCAAAGGUCUACCUAAACUAAAAUCGAUAUUCCAAAUCUAUUGGUGUAGUCAGAAUUUACAUAAAGGAUCGUUUCGCUGAAUUUUUCACUCUGUGGCCAUUUGGAACCAGUGAAGACUUUUAAACAAGAAAUUGGCUUUAAAAACCAAACGAACUUCCCGAUAAUUGAACGAUCGGUCCCAGCAAGUCAUAAAUGACUUGGGGCAGCUAUAGAAAAGCUCAAACGGUGAAGGUAAGCAUAAAUAUGGAAAAUGACCUGAAGGGUCAUUACAAAACUCUCCUAUAAAGUGAUGCCAAAGUGUAAAGUGAUGUACGAAACAAAAUUUGACCUAAGAAAUUGGUCAAAUAGCAACAGUAGCAGUAACAACAACAACAACAACAAAUGGUCAAUAAGAAGAAAAUGAAGAUGAUAAUGAAGUAGAAGAUAAUGAUAAUAAAGCAAAAGAUGAUGAAUAAAGCAGCAGCAAUAAUGAACAAGAAAAAUCGCUAAGAGAAAGAAAAAAUAAUGGAUGAGAAGAGAGAGAAAGACGUCUUUUUUUCUCUCCAUUUUUUGUUAUAUUAGGUAAACAUUUAAAUCAAAAUGUAAAUUAAAAACUUUUGGGUUAUUCUCAAAUUUAAUAAUAAAUUAAUUGUCACCUCCAUUCAAUUAUUAAGAAUUGUGUCAACUACACCUUAUUUUAAAACUCUUUUGUCACCUACAACCCAAACCCCCUAGUAAGUCUUGGAGUCUUAACAUAUAAAAUUAAUGGAGAAGUAGGUUUUAAUCACUUGAGGUUAAGGUAGAAUGGAAAAGACGAAAUCACCCCUCUUUCGUAUGGUAUAGGGCUGUUUUGACCGUUCUUAGUAAAAUACUCGUAACUUUUUACUCGGAAUCGGAUUGAUGAGCUAUUGGUGGAAUUGGAAAGAAGACUCAAAAAGCUUUAUUUGAUAGGUUAUAGGUCACAUAACUCUAAAUAUUCUAGGAUAAAUCCUUGUUUAAAUUUGGUCCUUGUAUGAACCUAUACGAAAUCUUAAUCAUUAAAGGACCUUUCAACUCUAAUUUGUUUUAGAGCUUUCUUAUGCAUUUAAUUUAUACCCAAUACCCUAACAUCACAUAAAACAUGACCUUUACACUUAGAUACAAUAAAAUUUCUUGAUUCACGUCUAAGUACAUUUGACCAAUUUGUUUUAUGUUUAGCUUGAACACUCAGGAUGUUACAUCUGUAUUUGUGGAUUAACUAGAAUAGUGGCUCAAAUUGCCGUAAUGGUAGCUAUAAGUGAGGCUACAUGACAAGGACAGAUUCCAGCCUAUGCAGAUUAAUUUAGUGCAGAUGUAAGCCCUUACAUCAUACUUUAGUAAAUAUCUUUUUCGUUCAUUUUGUUCACGAUAUUAAAUAUUGAUGAUCAUUUUUAUUUAUCCACCUGGAGAAAUGAAGAGUUAACUUAUCACUUAAACAUUAAAUUUAUUAUAUUUAAAAAGUGAUAUAACAGAACUGUUAUUCUAUUUAUUUCUCUUCAGAGGUGUGUCAAAUCUAUACCGACGAAAUAAAAAUGAACUGAACGAGUAGUACUAGUUUCUAUAUACCGAUACAAAAACACCUUUUUCUUUCUUCACUAGCAACUAUUUAACACUACAUCUUACAGUUAAGUAGUUACUGAAAAUGGCUUCAAAGUCUGGAUUAGAAGAGCUAAACUUUGUUUUGAUACCUUUACUUGCUGCAAGUCACAUUAUACCCAUGCUGGACAUGGCCAAAUUGUUAGCACAGAGAGGCGUGACAGUCACUUUAGUCAUGACACCUCUUAAUGCUAUCCGAUUUACUGCAGUAAUUCAUCGUGCCAUCGGUUCUGGACUAUGUAUUCGGAUACUUGAACUCCAAUUCCCAGCCAAGGAAGCGGGGUUGCCAGAGGGAUAUGAAAGCGCGGAUGUUCUACCAGAUACAGCUUAUC
rnacentral:lncRNA from 1 species